rnacentral:rRNA from 1 species
AUUAACGCUGGCAGAGUGCAUAACACAUGCAAGUCGAACGAGACUACCUGAGAUUACAUCAAUUGGUAGUUUAGUGGCAGACGAGUGAGUAACACGUAAGCAACCUACCCUCGAAAGGCGGACAACAUGCCGAAAGGCAUGCUAAUACGCCGUAACAUCCCGGAAAGGCAUCUUUUUGGGAUCAGAGAUCGCAAGAUCGUUUGGGGAGGGGCUUGCGGCCCAUCAGCUAGUUGGCGGUGUAAUGGACCACCAAGGCUAUGACGGGUACCCGGCCUGAAAGGGCGGACGGGCACGAAGGCACUGAGAAACGGGCCUUACUCCUACGGGAGGCAGCAGUGGGGAAUUUUGGACAAUGGGCGAAAGCCUGAUCCAGCAACUCUGCGUGAGGGACGAAGUUCUUCGGAAUGUAAACCUCUUUUAUUGGGGACGAAAACCCGCAAGGGUCUGACGGUACCCAGUGAAUAAGCCACGGCUAACUAUGU